UUUUCCGGUGAGUAGAUCGUAAACUGCCGACAUUCCUUGUCCUGCAAACCAUAUAAUGGAAAGAUUUGUCUAAUAAGAGACAAAGAGAAAGAGAAGUGUGAAACUGAGGAUGAGAGUGAGAAACCAUGGAAGAAAGAGACAGAAAUAUUAUACGUCAUGAAGCGAUGAAGUACACUGACGAAACCUUGAAGAUAAGGGAUAAUCGUCCAACUCACGUCAGCACCACGCUGUUCAAAUUCAACGACACACCG